rnacentral:misc_RNA from 1 species
GAUGAAGAACGUAGCGAAAUGCGAUAACUAGUGUGAAUUGCAGAUUUUAGUGAAUCAUCGAAUCUUUGAACGCACAUUGCGCCCGCCAGUAUUCUGGCGGGCAUGCCUGUUCGAGCGUCAUUUCAACCAUCAAGCCCCAGGCUUGUGUUGGGGACCUGCGGCUGCCGCAGGCCCUGAAAACCAGUGGCGGGCUCGCUGUCACACCGGGCGUAGUAGAUUUUAUCUCGCUCAGGGCGUGCUGCGGGUUCCGGCCGUUAAAAAGCCUUUUUUACCCAAGGUUGACCUCGGAUCAGGUAGGAAGACCCGCUGAACUUAAGCAUAUCAAUAAGCGGAGGA